GAUGAACGCUGGCGGCGUGCCUAAUACGUGCAAGUCGAGCGAAUGGAUUAAGAGCUUGCUCUUAUGAAGUUAGCGGCGGACGGGUGAGUAACACGUGAGUAACCUGCCCAUAAGACUGGGAUAACUCCGGGAAACCGGGGCUAAUACCGGAUAACAUAUCGAACCGCAUGGUUCGAAAUUGAAUGGCGGCUUCGGCUGUCACUUAUGGAUGGACCCGCGUCGCAUUAGCUAGUUGGUGAGGUAACGGCUCACCAAGGCAACGAUGCGUAGCCGACCUGAGAGGGUGAUCGGCCACACUGGGACUGAGACACGGCCCAGACUCCUACGGGAGGCAGCAGUAGGGAAUCUUCCGCAAUGGACGAAAGUCUGACGGAGCAACGCCGCGUGAGUGAUGAAGGCUUUCGGGUCGUGAAACUCUGUUGUUAGGGAAGAACAAGUGCUAGUUGAAUAAGCUGGCACCUUGACGGUACCUAACCAGAAAGCCACGGCUAACUACGUGCCAGCCGCCGCCGUAA
rnacentral:rRNA from 1 species